UACGUAGGGACCAAGCGUUGUUCGGAUUUACUGGGAGUAAAGGGCGCGUAGGCGGCGUGUUAAGUCACUUGUGAAAUCUCUAAGCUUAACUUAGAACGGUCAAGUGAUACUGAUGUGCUAGAGUGCAGAAGGGGCAACCGGAAUUCUUGGUGUAGCGGUGAAAUGCGUAGAUAUCAAGAGGAACACCUGAGGUGAAGACGGGUUGCUGGGCUGACACUGACGCUGAGGCGCGAAAGCUAGGGUAGCAAACGGG
rnacentral:rRNA from 1 species